rnacentral:rRNA from 1 species
UAACCUGGUUGAUCCUGCCAGUAGUCAUAUGCUUGUCUCAAAGAUUAAGCCAUGCAUGUCUAAGUUUAAGUACUAUGAAUGACGAAACUGCGAACGGCUCAUUAAAACAGUGAUAAUUGAUUUGAUGGACAUUCUACACGGAUAACCGUGGGAAACCAAGGCUAAUACGUGCAUAAGACUUCGGUCUGAGUUUAUUAGCUUAAGAUCCAUUUAAUGAUGGUUCAUGGUAAAUGAUCGGAUCGCACGCUUCUUGCGGCGAUGGUUCAUUCAAGUCUCUGACCUAUCAGCUUUCGACGGUCGGGUAUUGGCCCACCGUGGCUUUGACGGGUAACGGGGAAUUAGGGUUCGAUUCCGGAGAGGGAGCCUGAGAAACGGCUACCACGUCUAAGGAUGGCAGCAGGCGCGUAAAUUACCCAAUUCUGACAUAGAGAGGUAGUGACCAGAAAUAGCAACGUGAGGCAAUAGCUUUGCGAUGCAAUGAGUAGAAUCUACACGUUUCUACGAGUAACAAUGGAGGGCAAGUCUGGUGCCAGCAGCCGCGGUAAUUCCAGCUCCAAUAGCGUAUAUUAAAGUUGUUGCAGUUAAAACGCUCGUAGUUGAAUAUCUGCUAUAUGUGGUCGGUCCAUUUCGGUGUGAUCCGUUUUACGAAAUAGCAUUCGUUUGCUUUGAUUUAUCAUUGCAAACCGUUUACUUUGAGGAAAUUAGAGUGUUCAAAGCAGGCAAGUGCCUUGAAUACUUCAGCAUGGAAUAAUUGAUAGGACUUCCGUUCUGUCGUUGGUUCUGGGAAUGUGAAGUAAUGAUUAAAAGGGGCGGGCGGGGGCAUUCGUAUUGAACAGUCAGAGGUGAAAUUCUUAGAUUUGUUCAAGACGAACUACUGCGAAAGCAUUUGCCAAGUACGUUCCCAUUAAUCAAGAACGAAAGUUAGGGGAUCGAAGACGAUCAGAUACCGUCGUAGUCUUAACUAUAAACUAUGCCGGCUAGAGAUUGGAGGUGCGUCAUUUGGCCACCUUCAGCAUCUUCAGAGAAAUCUAAGUUUUUGGGUUCUGGGGGGAGUAUGGUCGCAAGGCUGAAACUUAAAGGAAUUGACGGAAGGGCACCACCAGGAGUGGAGCCUGCGGCUUAAUUUGACUCAACACGGGGAAACUCACCAGGUCCAGACAUGGGAAGGAUUGACAGACUGAUAGCUCUUUCUUGAUUCUAUGGGUGGUGGUGCAUGGCCGUUCUUAGUUCGUGGACUGAUUUGUCUGGUUGAUUCCGAUAACGAGCGAGAUCUUAACCUGCUAACUAGGUCUUCAGAAUGAGUUCUGAUGUGCCUUCUUAGAGGGACUUUGCAUAUUUAGUGUAAGGAGGUUUGAGGCAAUAACAGGUCUGUGAUGCCCA